GCAUUUUCCUCGCAUGAGGGAGAUGAGAAAGGCGGAGCAAUCUGCCACUUAUGGAUGGACCUGCGGCGCAUUAGCUAGUUGGUAAGGUAACGGCUUACCAAGGCGACGAUGCGUAGCCGACCUGAGAGGGUGAUCGGCCACACUGGGACUGAGACACGGCCCAGACUCCUACGGGAGGCAGCAGUAGGGAAUCUUCCGCAAUGGACGAAAGUCUGACGGAGCAACGCCGCGUGAGUGAUGAAGGUUUUCGGAUCGUAAAGCUCUGUUGCCAGGGAAGAACGCCUAGGAGAGUAACUGCUCUUAGGGUGACGGUACCUGAGAAGAAAGCCCCGGCUAACUACGUGCCAGCAGCCGCGGUAAUACGUAGGGGGCGAGCGUUGUCCGCCGAAUUAUUGGGCGUAAAGCGCGCGCAGGCGGCAAUGUAAGUUGGGUGUUUAAACCUAGUUGGCUCAACCUUGGGUCGGCAUCCAAAACUGCAUAGCUUGAGUACAGAAGAGGAAAGUGGAAUUCCACGUGUAGCGGUGAAAUGCGUAGAGAUGUGGAGGAACACCAGUGGCGAAAGCGACUUUCUGGGCUGUAACUGACGCU
rnacentral:rRNA from 1 species